UGCCCACAAAAAUGCCCAACCAUGCCAGGAAAAGGUAUUUUACCUUGAUGCCAGGGAGGCGAGACUGGAGCCGCUUAUGAAAGGGGGCAGGUGAGCACCAA